rnacentral:ribozyme from 1 species
UGCAACUAUAUUGCAAUGCUUCGUAGCUGAUGAGGAGAUGUUUAGUUCUGAUCAAAUGUAUGCGGAAGGAAGUCUCAAAACCUGGGUUGACAA